UACGGAGGGUGCAAGCGUUGUCCGGAUUUAUUGGGUUUAAAGGGUGCGUAGGCGGCCAUUUAAGUCUGGGGUGAAAGCCCGUUGCUCAACAACGGAACUGCCCUGGAAACUGGAUGGCUUGAGUACAGACGAGGGUGGCGGAAUGGAUGCUGUAGCGGUGAAAUGCAUAGAUACCAUCCAGAACCCCGAUUGCGUGAGGCAGCUGACUAGGCUGGUACUGACGACUGAGGCACGAAAGCGUGGGAAGCGAACAGG
rnacentral:rRNA from 1 species